CCUGUUUGUACUUAAUUUCGCAACGGCAAUCACCUCAGUAAGCUGCAGGUGUGGCUUUCUUGCUGGAGAUGGACAUUAUGAGAGACACGCUGUACAGAAUGAUUCUACAAAAGGACUACGGAUGUGGACUCUGGAUACCAGCGCUGAUCUGGUUAAUGAUUGGUUUAGGGGGGCUGAUUGCUGAUUGGUGGACAACAACGUUUGAUGAAACCCCACGGUCACUGUGACUAAUCACUCACAUUGUGACAUCUCACAAACAUGCCUCUUCAAAAGCAUAAAGGCAAAACAUGUAUACAAUCUACAAGUGGACAUGCACAUCUAUAUGAAG